GAACGGGUGAGUAACACGUGAGCAACCUGCCCUGGACUCUGGGAUAAGCGCUGGAAACGGCGUCUAAUACUGGAUAUGAGCUCUCAUCGCAUGGUGGGGGUUGGAAAGAUUUUUCGGUCUGGGAUGGGCUCGCGGCCUAUCAGCUUGUUGGUGAGGUAAUGGCUCACCAAGGCGUCGACGGGUAGCCGGCCUGAGAGGGUGACCGGCCACACUGGGACUGAGACACGGCCCAGACUCCUACGGGAGGCAGCAGUGGGGAAUAUUGCACAAUGGGCGGAAGCCUGAUGCAGCAACGCCGCGUGAGGGAUGACGGCCUUCGGGUUGUAAACCUCUUUUAGCAGGGAAGAAGCGAGAGUGACGGUACCUGCAGAAAAAGCGCCGGCUAACUACGUGCCAGCAGCCGCGGUAAUACGUAGGGCGCAAGCGUUAUCCGGAAUUAUUGGGCGUAAAGAGCUCGUAGGCGGUUUGUCGCGUCUGCUGUGAAAUCCCGAGGCUCAACCUCGGGCCUGCAGUGGGUACGGGCAGACUAGAGUGCGGUAGGGGAGAUUGGAAUUCCUGGUGUAGCGGUGGAAUGCGCAGAUAUC
rnacentral:rRNA from 1 species